GCAGUAGCCGCGGUAAUACGAAGGGUGCAAGCGUUACUCGGAAUUACUGGGCGUAAAGCGUGCGUAGGUGGUGGUUUAAGUCCGUUGUGAAAGCCCUGGGCUCAACCUGGGAAUUGCAGUGGAUACUGGGUCACUAGAGUGUGGUAGAGGAUAGUGGAAUUUCCGGUGUAGCAGUGAAAUGCGUAGAGAUCGGAAGGAACAUCUGUGGCGAAGGCGACUAUCUGGGCCAACACUGACACUGAGGCACGAAAGCGUGGGGAGCAAACAGGAUUAGAGACCUCCGUAGUCCCUGUCUCUUAUAC
rnacentral:rRNA from 1 species